rnacentral:rRNA from 1 species
AUUGAACGCUGGCGGCAGGCCUAACACAUGCAAGUCGAACGAGUGGCGGACGGGUGCGUAAUGUCUGGGAAACUGCCCGAUGGAGGGUGAUAACUACUGGAAACGGUAGCUAAUACCGCAUACCAUCGGAUGUUCCCAGAUGGGAUUAGCUAGUAGGUGGGGUAACGGCUCACCUAGGCGACGAUCCCUAGCUGGUCUGAUAGGAUGACCAGCCACACUGGAAAUGAGACACGGUCCCAUCUCCUACGGGAGGCAGCAGUGGGGAAUAUUGCACAAUGGGCGAAAGCCGGAUGCAGCCAUGGCGCGGGUAUGAAGAAGGCCUGCGGGUUGUAAAGUACUUUCAGCGGGGAGGCGUUACCCGCAGAAGAAGCACCGGCUAACUCCGUGCCAGCAGCCGCGGUAAGAC